rnacentral:rRNA from 1 species
UGAAAUCUGGCCCCAGGCCCGAGUUGUAAUUUGCAGAGGAUGCUUUUGGUGAGGUGCCUUCCAAGUUCCCUAGAACGGGACGCCAGAGAGGGUGAGAGCCCCGUACAGUUGGACACCGAGCCUUUGUAAAGCUCCUUCGACGAGUCGAGUAGUUUGGGAAUGCUGCUCAAAAUGGGAGGUAUAUUUCUUCUAAAGCUAAAUACCGGCCAGAGACCGAUAGCGCACAAGUAGAGUGAUCGAAAGAUGAAAAGCACUUUGAAAAGAGGGUUAAACAGCACGUGAAAUUGUUAAAAGGGAAGCGCUUGUGACCAGACUUGCGUCCGGUGAAUCACCCAGCUCUCGCGGCUGGGGCACUUCGCCGGCUCAGGCCAGCAUCAGCUCGCUGUCGGGGACAAAAGCUUCAGGAACGUAGCUCUCUUCGGGGAGUGUUAUAGCCUGUUGCAUAAUACCCUUCGGCGGGCUGAGGUACGCGCUC